AUGGCGAGAGGGCGGGAGGGCGAGGUGAGGAACCUGGUGCUGGGCAAGUACGAGCUGGGGCGGAUGCUGGGGCAGGGCUCAUUCGCCAAGGUCUACUACGGCCGCGACCUGCGCGACGGCCAGAGCGUGGCCAUCAAGGUCAUCGACAAGGCCCGCCUCCGCCAGACGGACGGCAUGGUGGAGCAGCUGCGCCGGGAGAUCUCCAUCAUGCGCAUGGUGCGCCACCCCAACGUCGUCGGCAUCCGGGAGGUGCUCGCCAGCCGCCAGCGCGUCUUCGUCGUCAUGGAGUACGCGCGCGGCGGGGAGCUCUUCGCCAAGGUCGCCCGCGGCCGCCUCACGGAGGACGCCGCCCGCAAGUACUUCCAGCAGCUCGUCGCCGCCGUCGCCUUCUGCCACAGCCGCGGCGUCGCGCACCGGGACCUCAAGCCCGAGAACCUCCUGCUGGACGAGGAGGGCCGGCUCAAGGUCACCGACUUCGGCCUCGCCGCGCUGCCCGAGCAGCUGCGCCACGACGGCCUGCUCCACACGCAGUGCGGCACCCCGGCCUACGUCGCGCCGGAGGUGCUCCGGAAGCGCGGCUACGACGGCGCGCGCGCCGACAUGUGGUCCUGCGGCGUCGUGCUCUACGUCCUGCUCUGCGGCUUCCUCCCCUUCCAGCACGACAACUACGUCAAGAUGUACCAGAAGAUCUUCAAGGGCGAGUACCAGAUGCCGCCCUGGGUCUCCGGCGAGGCACGCCGCCUCAUCGGCCGCCUGCUCGCCGUCGACCCCGCCAAGCGCAUCUCCAUCCCGGAGAUCAUGCUCACGCCGUGGUUCAAGAGGGGGUUCGUGCCGCCCGUCCCGUCCUCCCCCGUCACGCCCAGGAAGUGGGACGACGACAACGCCGCCGCCCUGAUCGACGGCAGCGAGGACAGCUCCGGCAACAUCUCGCCGCGGACGUGCAAUGCGUUCCAGCUCAUAUCCUCCAUGUCCUCCGGGUUCGACCUGUCGGGGCUGUUCGAGAGCGAGCAGAAGGCCGCGACGGUGUUCACGUCCCGCGCGCCGGCGGCCACCGUGUUCCACAAGCUGGAGUCCGCGGGCAAGGCGCUGAGGUACAACACGACCAGAGGGAAAGGAUGGAGGAUCAGAAUGGAGGCCAAGGCCGACGGCGCGAACGGGCGGCUCGCGGUCACCGCGGAGGUGUUCGAGGUGGCCGCCGACGUGACCGUGGUCGAGUUCGCGCACGACGGCGGCGACGCGCUCGAUUUCAACAAGUUCUGCGCCGAGGACGUGCGCCCUGGGCUCGCGGACAUCGUCUGGGCGUGGCAGGGCGACGUGCCCGCCUUGCCGGGCGCCGUCGCGUGA
rnacentral:rRNA from 1 species